AUUGAACGCUGGCGGCAGGCCUAACACGUGCAAGUCGAGCGGAGCGGCGGACGGGUGAGUAAUGCCUAGGAAUCUGCCUGGUAGUGGGGGAUAACGUCCUGAAACGGGCGCUAAUACCGCAUCCUAUCCUAUGAGCCUAGGUCGGAUUAGCUAGUUGGUGGGGUAAAGGCCUACCAAGGCGACGAUCCCUCGCUGGUCUGAGAGGAUGACCAGCCACACUGGAACUGAGACACGGUCCAGACUCCUACGGGAGGCAGCAGUGGGGAAUAUUGCACAAUGGGCGCAUGCCUGAUGCAGCCAUGCCGCGUGUAUGAAGAAGGCCUUCGGGUUGUAAAGUACUUUCAGCGGGGAGGCGUUACCCGCAGAAGAAGCCCCGGCUAACUCCGUGCCAGCCGCCGCGGUAAUAC
rnacentral:rRNA from 1 species